UGGCCGUUGAGAACUGCUCGGCGGCGGGCGGCGGCGCGCCCUGGGGGCUGCCCGUGAUGUUACCCACAGGAGCCGGGUCCGGUGUGGGAGCUGUUCAUGAGCCACCAGUGCCCAAGAGCCGCAGGCUGGGCAUAGCAGGGUCUCCUCCCGCAGAAGGAGCUGUUUGCUGCUGGAGACACAGGUGAGCUGUGCAGGCCCUGGCGCAGGCUUUGCAGGAUGCUCGCCUCCCCCCCCCCCCCCCCCCCCCCCCCGAGGGAUUGCCCUCCCUCCGGAGGUUGUUCAGGGCAGCUCCUGGCCUCCUCCCCAUGACUUGCUAGCCAAACG
rnacentral:lncRNA from 1 species